AUUGAACGCUGGCGGCAGGCUUAACACAUGCAAGUCGAGCGAGCGGCGGACGGGUGAGUAAUGUCUGGGAAACUGCCUGAUGGAGGGGGAUAACUACUGGAAACGGUAGCUAAUACCGCAUACCAUCAGAUGUGCCCAGAUGGGAUUAGCUAGUAGGUGGGGUAAUGGCUCACCUAGGCGACGAUCCCUAGCUGGUCUGAGAGGAUGACCCGCCACACUUGAACUAAGACACGGUCCAGACUCCUACGGGAGGCAGCAGUGGGGAAUAUUGCACAAUGGGCGCAAGCCUGAUGCAGCCAUGCCGCGUGUGUGAAGAAGGCCUUCGGGUUGUAAAGCACUUUUGGCAGGCACGCGGUACCUGCAGAAUAAGCACCGGCUAACUACGUGCCAGCAGCCGCGGUAAUUC
rnacentral:rRNA from 1 species